UUAUUAAUUUUAUAUUGUACUUCUCGUAUUUAGAUUAAUUGCAUUGUAUAACAUACUAAAUUGCAUUGUAUAUUAUGUACAAUUUAUGAAAUGUUUAUUCCCUUAUCUUUUCCAUUUUAUUUAAUAUUUUUGUCAGUCAAUUUAAUAUAUUUUAUGUCACGAUUCAAUACUCCCCUUGAGUCAUUCACAACCGCCGCGACGUCCCGAUUGACAUUCUUCGCCCGGAAUGCCAACUUGAAUCUCGCAAGGCUUUAAUAUCAGUUUUCGCACCUCCCCUGUGAGCAACAGUUGUUAAGUAUCAUGUUUUGAGAGAUUAUAAACUAUUUUCAAAUCAAAACAAUAGAAAAAUAAUUUUUUUCUCACAGGGGCAUUUUGGUCAAUUUUCCUCAAAAAUCUCGAAACCAGCUAAAAAUGUAGUAUGCAAGUGGAAAACACAUAUUUCAUAAUAAAAAAUAAGUUUAGAUGUCUAAAACAUUCAUUUGAAAUGAAAUUAUGACUAUUUGAAUAUAAUAAAAAUAUUCUAUAAAAUAUUCUAUUUUCUUAUAAAACAAUAUUUAUAGAGUUACCGGUAAAUAAUUUUUGUGGCAUAAAAGCUAAAUAAAUUCAUACAUACUGUAAUACAGAUAACCAAAGUAUAAAAUUUAAUUUACAGUGACACGUGGCCCCACGAAUGACCAAAAGUAUCAAAAGAGUUAAACCUACAGUUUUUGAGGAUGCAAGUCCAAUUGUAGCCCUCAAUGAAAUGAGCUAUCUACCGACUAUCCUAAGCCUGAAAAGGGUGGAAAGGAGGGUGGUAAGAUUACAUAAUCCUAGUGAGUAAACAAAUACUAUCUAAAAUAUCUGAAGCUGAGUAAAUGGAGACAGAUAAAAUAGUUUAACAUACUGUAAUUCAUCAUCUUUCAACUCAUUUCAACCAAAUAAAAUCAAUUCAUAUAAAUUGAGUAAUCAACAUGGCUUAUAAAUUUCUUAAAACUUUGGCUCGUGCCAAAAUCAUUCUCAUACUCAGUUAUUAGGGAUACCUUGGCCAAUGGUUAUCCCAACCAAGACCGCCAAGGCUAUUAAAAAGUUAUGUACGCAUAAAUCAUGUUUUUUAUUUUGAAAACAUAGCCGUUUCUUGACGUUGGCUGAGUUCACCCUCACGUGAUAGUUUAGCGUGAAGUUAACUCUAAAGUUUUAACCUCAGGAGUUAUCCAACCACGCCUCUCAUAUUGAGGUAUGAAUAUAAUAGGGUUAUUGUGCCCCUCUAAUAGGUUGGUCCACGGAACCCGUCCACUGCAGCGACCAAUUUAUAAUCCACCAAUUCAAUAAAAUUCAACAGCAUGACAUGACAAUUAUUUUAUUUUACAACCUCUCAAGGCAAAUUAACAGUUCAUACAUUUUCAACACCAAUUCAGCCAUUCCUGCAAAUAUUAUCAUAAGCCAUUCAAUUCAAAUCAUGAUUUAUAACACAGCGAUUAGUCUCCAAUUACUUUAUUUUCAAAACCAUCAUUCAAUUUCAAAACAAUUUUAUAAAAUCAUUUCAUUUAAAUCACAUUUUAGUUACAAAACACAAAGAUUUACCAUUUAACUCAUUUUCCAUAAAAUCACAAAAUCGGAUAAAAACCACUUUAGAUAAUUAAGAUGAUAGUAAGGUUACUCACUAUUUCAGGAGUCUAAUUUCGAGUACUCCAAUUCUUGAUCCUUGGGAACUAUCUCUUUACUUUUGCCAGAAAGCUCACCACCUAGACAUAAUGCAUAAUAAGCCAUUUGCUACAUUUGUGCUAAACCGUUGUAAAACCAAUUCGGGCUUAUACUAAUGUAUGAAAUGGGAUGUGAAAUACUCGGGUAACUAUCUAAAUACGGUGUUCAAUAUAAAUUCAAUUAUGUACCUAAAUAAAAUGGUAUUGGCCUAAUUCGAUCUAUCACCUGAUUAAUUGGCCAAUACGUCGAAUUUAACUUCAAUUAACUCCAUUUUUCUUCCAAUUCUCCAAACCAUCAAACACAAGUCAAAUAACAUAAAAUUUAGCAAAAUCAUCCUCACAUUUCUUCUUGAGAAUCUCUGCCAUGGUGAGUGCAUCAACACUAUGAUUUUUCCUACUUGAUUUUCUCACCAUAAUUCAUCAUUUCCUAACCAAUUCACUUGAAAUAAAAUCAAAUCCACCAUCAACACUCUACAAGGAAGAUUCGGCUAAUGAUGAACUCAUGAGAAAUAUGUGAAUUUCAAGCUUAAUUCUUACACUUAACACCAUAAACAACUAAAAACAUCCAUAUUUCUUAAAAAUCUAUCUAAAUCAUCAUCAAAUUCUCCCUCCUAGGGUUUGAUCAGCACACUAUCCUUCAUGAUAUCUUGUGAUUCAACCAUAGAAAAUAAGAAAAAAAUGCUUAAGAAAGAUAGAUCACAAGCUUAAUUGAAAAAUCUUAUCUUUUUUUUUUUUCACUUCUCAUUGAAUUUUCACACUUUUCCCUUGAAUUUUUCCACCUAGGGUUUUGUUCUUCCUUUUCUUCCUUUGUUCUUGCUUUGACCGGCC
rnacentral:lncRNA from 1 species